AGAGUUGAUCCUGGCUCAGGAUGAACGCUAGCGACAGGCUUAACACAUGCAAGUCGAGGGGCAGCAUAAAAGUAGCAAUACUUGGUGGCGACCGGCGCACGGGUGAGUAACGCGUAUGCAACCUGCCUAUCAGAGGGGAAUAACCCGGCGAAAGUCGGACUAAUACCGCAUAAAACAGGGGCACCGCAUGGUGAUAUUUGUUAAAGAGAUUCGCUGAUAGAUGGGCAUGCGUUCCAUUAGGUAGUUGGUGAGGUAACGGCUCACCAAGCCGACGAUGGAUAGGGGAACUGAGAGGUUGGUCCCCCACACUGGUACUGAGACACGGACCAGACUCCUACGGGAGGCAGCAGUGAGGAAUAUUGGUCAAUGGGCGAGAGCCUGAACCAGCCAAGUCGCGUGAAGGAAGAAGGAUCUAUGGUUCGUAAACUUCUUUUGCAGGGGAAUAAAGUGCAGGACGUGUCCUGUUUUGUAUGUACCCUGAGAAUAAGGAUCGGCUAACUCCGUGCCAGCCGCGGC
rnacentral:rRNA from 1 species